AUCAAGCUGACGAGUCUCAAAUAGGACGAAACGUGCGUCCUGUAU
rnacentral:hammerhead_ribozyme from 1 species